ensembl:lncRNA
AAUCCUACACUUCUUAUCAGUGUACUGGAUUUACGGGGGGUUGGGGGGUGGGGGAACCAACAACAACAAGGGGAAGUUGUGGCCUAGUGGUUAGAGAGUUUGACUCCUAACCCUAAGGUUGCGGGUUCGAGUCUCGGGCCGGCAAUACCACGACUGAGGUGCCCUUGAGCAAGGCACCGAACCCCCAACUGCUCCCUGGGCGCCGCAGCAUAAAUGAUACCCACUGCUCCGUGUGUGUUUUCACAGUGUGUGUGUUCACGGUGUGUGUGUGCACUUUGGAUGGGUUAAAUGCAGAGAACGAGUUCUGAGUAUGGGUCACCAUACUUGGCUGUAUGACACUUCACUUUCAGACUAAGGUAUUCUUCUUAUGACACACUGAUAAAAUUUUAUUAUUAUUUUAUUAAUUUUAUAUUUAAUUUUAUUCUUUUGAUGUACGGAAUUCAGCUAGAAAUUUUUUUUUAAGUGAAACUGUAUUCUUUACAGUAGGCUAUAUUUUGAGUCAUGUGACCUAAUUAUGCAAAUCAGGAGGGUUACUGGGAAUAUUCAUUGAGCGGGAUAUCAUUCCAUCCUCUCACAUGGUCUGUACAGCAGCUUGAAGCUUUUUAUGAUAGCUAAACUUUUAUGAUACUGCAAUAAAUUUGCGCCCUGAAUCUAUGGGUCAAUACUGCUGACAGGACUUAAGGCAGAGAGAAAUUGAUGGCAUAGAAAUGAAACUGUCUAAAGGCAUCAUUCUCCUUUUUCUGGGAUUGUUUUUUAAGGUUGCUGUGGCAGGGAAUUCCACACAGGUGUACUGGUUAGAGCUUGAAAUCGAGUCAUCGGUGUAUAACAAAGUUGCUGAGCUUCUGAUGAAGCAGACACACAUAGACAUUGCUAAUGCAACUGUAACCGACAUCAAAAACACAACAGAUUGCACACUGAAAGAGAAGGAAAAGAUUUGUUUAUGCAUGCCGGGAUACAAAUGGAGUGAGGACAUAUGCAGCAAAAAUCAUGACUGCUGCAAUAACAGCUGCACGCUAAAACUUAAUGACAUUGCUGUGUGUCUGCCUGAAACAAGAGUAAGCAUCAAUGGAUUAACUACACUGAAUAGGUCUUGCGAGAAUUUAUGCCACCCAAGCAAAAAAGGUUCUCAAGGUUACAAUAUUGAGGACAAGGAAAUUACUGAUAUGCUUCUGGAAAAAUUCAGCACACUGAAAUAUUUUGAUUCUCUGAUUAUCAACAGUUACAGGAGCGGCAGCGUGAUUGUAGAUUAUACGGUGCAGUUAAUGAGUUCAGUUACAUUUGAUGAGUUGAAUAAUUUUAUCCAAACACUGCCUAAUACUGUUCUGGUAACAACAGGCCUCAUCCCUAUUAACGGUCCUCAGAAGGCAAUUGAUAUCGGCUCCUCUGUAAGUAUAACUUGUAAUCGACCAAUAAAGCUAAAGGUAAAGUGGUUCUUAAUAGAUGGGCAGAACAAAACAACAGAGAUCACAAAUGGAAAAGAGGCCACCUUGACUAACAACAGUUUGAUGGACAUUGUUAAUCUGCGUGACAUUUCAGGAAGCUGGAAAGGUAUGUUUCUGCACACAUAUGCAAUUAAGAUUUUGAAACUUUGAAAGUAUUUUUUAAUCAUUUUUAAAUAUUUAAACAUUCUUCAGUGUUAAAAUCUUUUUUCUACCCAGUUUAUUAUGCAGAAUAUUUCAUUUUUCAUGUAAUUUGUCAAAAAAUUCCACUGAUUGGUGUAAAAUCAAUUUUCACUCAGAGAUUGCUAGUAAAUUUCACAGACAAUUACAAAGAAACGGCAAGUAACAUGUUGAACUAAAUAUGAA